rnacentral:rRNA from 1 species
UACGGGGGGGGCAAGCGUUGUUCGGAAUUACUGGGCGUAAAGGGCUCGUAGGCGGCCAACUAAGUCAGACGUGAAAUCCCUCGGCUUAACCGGGGAACUGCGUCUGAUACUGGAUGGCUUGAGUUCGGGAGAGGGAUGUGGAAUUCCAGGUGUAGCGGUGAAAUGCGUAGAUAUCUGGAGGAACACCGGUGGCGAAGGCGGCAUCCUGGACCGAAAUUGACGCUGAGGCGCGAAAGCCAGGGGAGCAAACAGG